GUCUUGCUAUGCCUCAUGGGACUUGUAGUUCUGCAACAGCUGGAGGUCCGCUAAUUGCAUAUCCCUGGUCUAGAGAUAUCCAUUUCAAUUUUGGCUCCUAACGUGCGGCUUUGUUUUUUUUACCAGACACAGCAGAAUCAAGAGCUGGAAGGAGCGAGAGUCGGAAGGAGCGACCCUGUUUGAACAAGCACACGAUCCUGAUUUAGAUACCGGUACUCACAGUUUACUUCCUGGUGAUUGGGUGAUGGUUAAGAAGUUCCUCCGAAAACAUUCUCUAGAGCCAAGAUAUGAUGGUCCAUUUCAAGUGUUGUGGACAACAGCUACUUCAGUAAAGUUGGCCGGAAAGAACACUUGGAUACACGCAUCCCAUUGCAAAAAGGCUCCAGUUCCUGAGGACUGUGCACUACCCGCAACAGAAUGAAGUUAUAUAUCCUUCUUUUUACAGUGACAAUUGUGUACACACAGGAGGUGGCUAUUAGGAGAGCAGAACAGAUACAGUUGUGGUAUAAUUCAUCAAACACACAUGUGGCUACCUUUAUAUUUGAUUACUGUGAUAUAUAUGUUCCUUUGCCAAUUGUAUGGCAGUGUGCUGUGUACCGGCCGCUGUUUGUUGCCCAUGGAAACAUAUAUCUAUGUGAUGCAACUGAGGAUUGUGACAAUUGGGGAUCUGUGGGUUGGAAUACAGGUGAUGACUGGGGAAAUAGGCCACAGUGUGCCCUGAACAAAAAAGACAAAUAUGGAGAGCCAUUACUUGACAGACUGACCUUAACAAAAACAGGUAUAUGGUCAGGUAGUGAGGUGGAACAUAGCACAAAACUUACCCUAACCAUAAGGAAUCCCAGUCAUGUGGAUGCAGGCACAUAUGUUAUAGGGGUACGGUAUGAUGGAGGGGAGAAGGGACCACAAGGACAGUUCCAAAUUAAAGACAUGUAUAAUUUACCUGAAUGGCAGGCCCUUCAAACAGCAAGUGAUCCCCCUGAGUCACAUGUACAUAAGAGCACCCUAGAUGAUAUAGUGGCCAUAGCAGAUCCCACAUCUGAAGACACAAUGGCAGCAGAGACUGGUUUCUCGGAUGUCAACCUAUGGCUGGAAUGGAUGAGAUAUAGUGCAGGGAAACAUAACAGGUCCAACUGUUAUGUGUGUAGUGGAGCUAAACCCCAUUUGGGAACAGUACCAUUAAACAUACCUCCCACUCAAGGAGUUUUUUCUGAGCCUGUUUACCAAUACUACUACUGAUUACUCCCAGUGUGAAACAUGGAAAAAAGGAAUACCCAAUAAUAACUAAUACAGCAAGGCCCGGGGAGGGUAUCACUAUAUAUCCCGGUAAUUACACAUGUUAUGGGAAAUAUCAGGAAAAAGGGAGGUUCUUGGGUAACUUCUCUACGGGAUACUGUGCUUCAUACAGUAGUGUAUCCGCAGAUCUAGUCCAAAAUCAAACUCAAUCCUUGGGAGAUGUGUAUUGGAUCUGUGGGGACAUGAAGAUUAGGACUAAAUUAACUGACAGAUGGACAGGGGAAUGUGCACUUGCUAAAGUCAUAGUGCCCCUGCACAUCUUUUCUGUAGAAGACCUAGUAACAAAAGGGAAGCACUCCAAGAGAGCGUAGAAGUGCCCCUGCUGGUAGUUUUGACCCUCGUGUAUAUAUAGAUGCCAUCGGGGUCACAAGGGGGGCCCCGGAUGAGUUUAAAGCCAGAGAGACCAAGUAGCUGCAGAUUUUGUGUCCCCGAUUCCCAUAAUCACUAUAAAUAAGAAUGUAGAUUGGAUUAAUUAUAUUUACUAUGGAUUAAUUAUAUUUACUAUAAUCAACAAAAGGUUUGUUAACUAUACCAGGGAUGCACUCCAGGGAAUAGCUGAACAACUAGCGGCCACAUCACAAAUGACUUUUCAAAAUCGCAUGGCCCUAGACAUGAUCAUAGCUGAAAAGGGGGGUGUAUGUAAAAUGUUGCCUGGAACAAGUACAUGUUGUACGUACAUUCCGGACAAUACAGGUCCGAAUGGUAAGGUAACUUUGGCCAUUAAGAAAUUAGAGGAAUUCUCCAAGGAGUUAAAAAGAAAUUCAGGGCCGACAGAUCCCUGGGACCAGUAUUUUGGGUGGAUGAAAGGGUGGCAACGCAUUUGUACUCAAAUAGGUAUAGCAAUUUUGUUUUUGGUUAUAUUGGUUGUGAUGAUGUUUUAUUGUAUUCUGUCCUGUAUAAAGAAGCUGUUAGGGAAAGCAGCUGAAGAGAUAGUUCCUACUUUUUUGAAUUUAGAUGAUAUAGGAGAUUCAAUGAAGGAAGUAGAAGAGGGACCAUAUCCUCUAUUACAAUCCUUACCUGUUAAAACCACUUACAACAUUCUCAAGUGAGGGAAAGAACAAAGAGAAUGUAGGGACAGUACUGAUAAAAUAGCCAUUUUAAGGGGGGACUGUGAUGGAUUAUACUAAAAUCCCUAUUUUAUGUUAGGCUGAUUCUUUUAUUAGAAUCACUGAAAUGUUUCUUUUUUUUUUAUAUUGUUUUUAUAUUCAUUAUAUAUAUGCAUGUGUGAAAAAUGUGUAUCACAAUAGUGUUCAUUUCCCUUAAGAGUUUAUAUCAGAUAUGAUAUUAAGUUUUAAAGUUACAAACUCAACUUGGAUGGAGAGACAGAAGGACUAAUAAUAGGAAACAGAUGUGUUCAAUCUUCCCCUCCUCCCUGUCUUCUUCCACUGACUGGAAUUUUGUGUCCCUUGACAAGAGAACUGUUUCCAAAUACGGCUUUGCCCCUGAAACCUUGGGCUUGAGAUCCCUGUAUAUGAACAUUGGACAAAUGAUAUUACAUGUGCUCCACACUGCCAAGAAUAGACAUCACAGGAGGCGUGUAAAUGGGUGGGUAAAUGGGUGUGAAUUAUACAAGCUAACCAAUCUGAAUGCAUAUGUUUUGUGAUGUCAUAUUGUUAAUAAAGGGAGCCUCACAGGUCGUCCCUCUUCCUCUUUGCACAGGAA